GAGGUUGUGGCUCAGCGGGAGAGCACUCGUCUAGCACAUGUGAGGCCCUGGUUCAACCCAGAGAAACCACA
rnacentral:tRNA from 1 species